AUUGAACGCUGGCGGCGUGCCUAAUACAUGCAAGUCGAGCGCGAGAGUGAGGAGCUUGCUCCUCAUAAUCGAGCGGCGGACGGGUGAGUAACACGUAGGCAACCUACCCUUGAGAUUGGGAUAACUACCGGAAACGGUAGCUAAUACCGGAUACGACUUUUCCACACAAGUGGAAUGGUUAAAAGGCGGAUUUAUCUGCCGCUCAUGGAUGGGCCUGCGGUGCAUUAGCUAGUUGGUGAGGUAGUGGCUCACCAAGGCGACGAUGCAUAGCCGACCUGAGAGGGUGAUCGGCCACACUGGGACUGAGACACGGCCCAGACUCCUACGGGAGGCAGCAGUAGGGAAUCUUCCGCAAUGGACGCAAGUCUGACGGAGCAACGCCGCGUGAGUGAUGAAGGGUUUCGGCUCGUAAAACUCUGUUGUUAAGGAAGAACACUUGAGGUAGUAACUGGCCUUGAGAUGACGGUACUUAACCAGAAAGCCACGGCUAACUACGUGCCAGCCGCCGCAGUAA
rnacentral:rRNA from 1 species